rnacentral:lncRNA from 1 species
AAGCAAUUUGCUCAUAGCCAUAGCUUUCUUGUGAAAGUAGGAUAUUAACCCAGGUGUCUUGGUGCUGGAGAACAGAACUGGCCAGAGUCCAUCCUGUCUCCCACCGGCAUCCCAUUACGAAAUGAACACAGAAAAGGCAGGUCUGCAAUGCCAACAUCUAGUAUCUAUCCCAAAGACCAGGGAGAAAGGAAGGAAAGAUUCUGGUUCUGUCCUCUUCCCCAAGGCAAGGCUGGCUGCCCUACCAACAGAGGCAAAGAGAAGAGUGUGCAAGGCUGGCUGCCCUCCCAACAGAGGCAAAGAGGAGUGUGUGUUGAAAUAUCCAUUGAAUCCCUGAGACAACUGGAUCCUGGCCCAUUGAAUCAUAAACUCAGCAGAAUCUCACAUCAUAACCCCAAAUGACCUGUUACUCACCAUGUGGCCCAGCUGUCUUCAAACUCACCAGCCUCCUGCCUUAGCCUUCUAAAUGCUUGGAUUACAGGCAUGACCCACCAUAACUGGCUUUGUUUUAGUUUCAGAGAAGAUGAAACUGAUGUGCGUCAAAAAGCUGGUAGUCUGUCAAGGAAAUGAGCUGAACAUGUCUGUGUACAGCUUUUGUGCCAUCCCUGGAUGAGCGAGCUGUCUGCCUCUAUGUUCUCCACAAAAUGGAAUAUAGCUGUACACCCAAGCCAAGUUAUGGAGGCUGGGAAGACCUAGAAUGUGGCAUCACUAUUUGCUGAAAUUUUUAAUAUAAUGCCUCUUAGCCUGGUUUGGAGAAAACGUCACAGAGAGGCACCAUUUGUUGUGGUUUUACAUGAAAAUUUUCUGACCCUGAACCUGGUUUGAUGGAAAUCAUUUGCUGAGGUUAUUUAGAAAAUUGUUACCUCAAAAAUGACCUAGGGGUCCUUAGAAUAAUAACACACAGAAGAAUAGCCUCAUUUUUCUGUUGGGCCCAGGAAACCAUGCCGAUUACCGACCGAGCUCUCAAUGGAAAAAUGCAGUCGGCGUGAACCACGCACGAACACAGCAGAGAAAGAAGAAAACACACACCACGAGGAACCCUAAUAGGACAAUACAUUAUAAGUCACAGUGCUACGGAGAAACCCAGUAGCCACAUGGAAGCAGAGACCAUGCAUAUGCAUCUACUCCGCAGCUCUGUGAAUGUCAGCAGCUCCCACGGACUGGAGAUCCCGUGAGAUCCCGUGAGAUCUCACCCAUAGCCUCAUGGUACAUCCACUUGGUGUGCUGGGAGAGUCAGGAUGAGGACCUGAGAAGAACAGCAGCUUGAACCUGACUUCAUUUAACAGCCCACUGCCCUCUUGCCAAGAACCCAUCACAGACCUUCCCAGAAGAGAGGGAUGAGCCUCACCUAUGAAUAAGUCCUCAGAAACUCAAAUUUGAUUCUAAUGGAUUGUUUUCUCAGAAAGACUGAGCAUGUCCCCCCACAUCUCUGUCAUUUCCCACAGUAGUAACCUCUGCAGAUGCCACAUAGAAAACAAAACAAAACAAAAAAACAUGAGGUUGGUGGGCAGAUAGGCAGGGUAUAAACAAACAGCCUUGUAACCCAGAAGCUGUGUGAUAUACAGUAAACUUCACAACACUGAAAAGAUGUCCUAUCUGUUAAAAUGGGGUAAUAACAACUACCCGAAUGUUUAGGAAUAGAACUUCAAUAAAUGAUACAUUUUAUAGUACAGCAGACCAUCCUGUAAAGGUUUCAUCCUUCACUGUGGUGAUAAAUAUCCCAAACCACAUUGAAAAGCAUUGCAUCUACAUUUAUCUACACUGUAACUGUACUGUAAAUCAUGGGGGAGGGGAGAAUCAUAAAAACACCACCUGUCACCGUGUCAUUAAAGCAAGUUGGAAGUGAUACUUACAGAAACACAGCAAGAGCACCCCCAGUCACACAGUUCAAUCUCUUAGCAAGCGUUUUCUUUCUAGCCCAGUGGUUCUCAGUUUGGAAUUUUUGGCACUGCCUAGAGAUAGUUUUGUUGUUAAAACUGAGAAAAGAGCCGGGCGUGGUGGCACACGCCUUUAAUCCCAGCACUCAGGAGGCAGAGGCAGG